rnacentral:tRNA from 1 species
GGAAGCGUGGCCGAGUGGUUUAAGGCGCUGGUCUUGAAAACCAGAGAUGGUUACAUCCGUGAGUUCGAAUCUCACCGCUUCCGCCA